CCCUGCCAUGUGCAGCUUUAAGUCAGGCUCCCCCUUGUUGGCACGCACUACCGGCUGCUGCUACGAUGCGUAUCAUUCCCAGGUGAGCGGGGAUACGCCCGGGCGUGAUGUGACAUCACGGCCCAGGACUUUAAAACUGCUCGGUGCGGCGUUGCACCGCACAGCCUAGCUCCGGGUUCGGAGUCCGGGGACUGCUGGGGCCCAAGUGCAGACUCCAGCCCCACAAAGUGGAAGGCAGAAGGGGACUGCUCUGACCACCAGGCUGCUGCGACUCUCCAGCUGGUUGGCUCGGGCCUCUCCGGCUGACUGGCUCAGGCACCUCUGGCUGGCUGGUUCGGGCCAGUGGGCCUCUCUCCAGGCUGUGGAUUCCAGGAUGCUGCGGACUGCUUAGGAGACAGCUGUGGAUAGCGCGAGGCCUGCAUCUCGGUGCUGUGGCCUGGGGAGCUGUAUUUAUUGCUCACCUGGUUGUUAUGGUGUGUAGCCCAGUUCUCUGCAGCAGAGCAGAAGGCCUGGUGCUUGUCCACCCCCAGCAGCCACUCCCCACUGUCAACAUGUGCACUGUAGUGCCUGUGUCAUGGACCCCACAUAGCGCCAGCGCUGCACAGUACAGAGACGUAAUACAAUUGAAUCGCCAGUGUAGCCAAGUCAAGCGAUUAAGCCAAGGUGUUGAUUUACAGUGCAGCUGCUCGUCCUGAUUAAAUCUGUGUGGACACAGUGAUGGCAAGAGCAGCCUUGCCCUCUAGCUGCUCCCUCUCACUCCACCUUCCAGGGGAAGACAAGGCACAGCCAAGGUCACAUUCACACCCUCUCGAUGGUGCAGGCUGUGCUCAGGGCCUUGGCAUUCAUCUCGCUCAGCCCUGCCCAAGGAGGCAGGACCAGGGAACCCAGCCUGUCUCUGAUGGGGCUUUGUCCAGCCUGUGCCUGAGUCCACCAAUGCAGGAACUCCUCAGCCUCCCCAGCCACCAAGUCCAGAGCUGACAGACCCAGAGCUCUGGCACACGGUUCCUUAAAACCUGCCCUAAAGCAGAUUCAGCCCUUCACCACUUGUCCCCGUGGCCACACACAUGAGGGCCCUGUGGAGUCAAGCUCAGGCUCGUGCCUUCCCACACGUCUGCACUAGCCACUCUGCUGCUGGGCCCCUGCUGUUUGUACUCCUGCAGCCAUUCUGCCCUGGACAUGGUUUGGUUUUUUUAAAUUUGGUGGUUUUGGUUUUA